ACACUAUAAGAUGUAAAUGCUUUUAAAAGUUAUUCCAACAUGUAGCAACUGUGUGUCCACUUAAUAAAGAGUGUAAUAUUAGAUAAAUCAGACUGACAUAAUGGCAGUUUUAGGUUGUUGACUACAGCUUCUUCCUAUACAGUCAGUAUUUGUAGGGUAAGAUGAGCAAGAAGGUACAGUAAGUGUGGGAGGAGCUCAAUGUUUGUCGACUCCUGCAGAAUAAAUCAAAUAGACAACACUGACUUCCCUUCAUACUGAUGAUACUGACAGAAUCUGAACUCAAACUACAGAAACAUGUUACUCAUCACUUCUGUUUUAAUAUUUAUCCUCAGUUACUGUGAAGCGAAUGGGAAUGUCAUCAGACCAGAUCAACCAUCUGUAGUUUUAACUGAAGGAAGCAGCAUCAGUCUGUCCUGUACAUUUGAUGGAUCAGCUUACAGUCUCCACUGGUACCGGCAGAUGCCUGGAUCAAGACCAGAGUUUCUGCUGCUGAUUGUGAAGUCUACUAAAACUGAAGUUCAAGCUUCUCCACCUCACCCGCAUAUGUCCAUCAGACUUCAUGAUAAACGUGUGGAUCUGGAGAUCUCCUCUGCUGCAGUAUCAGACUCUGCAGUGUAUUACUGUGCUCUGGAGCCCACAGUGACAGGAAAC